GUGAGAUGAGAUCAACGUUUCGACAUACGAUUUUGCGCUGAUUUCAUUUCAUGA
rnacentral:pre_miRNA from 1 species